UGCGUAGGCGGAUUAAUAAGUCAGUGGUGAAAUCUUUCGGCUCAACCGAGAAACUGCCAUUGAUACUGUUAAUCUUGAGUUCGGUUGAGGUAGGCGGAAUGUGUAAUGUAGCGGUGAAAUGCUUAGAUAUUACACAGAACACCAAUUGCGUAGGCAGCUUACUAGACCGACACCGACGCUGAGGCACGAAAGCGUGGGGAGCGAACAGGAUUAGAUACCCUGGUAGUCC
rnacentral:rRNA from 1 species